rnacentral:rRNA from 1 species
GACGAACGCUGGCGGCGUGCUUAACACAUGCAAGUCGAACGGAAAGGCCCUGCUUUUGUGGGGUGCUCGAGUGGCGAACGGGUGAGUAACACGUGAGUAACCUGCCCUUGACUUUGGGAUAACUUCAGGAAACUGGGGCUAAUACCGGAUAAGAGCUCCUGCUGCAUGGUGUGGGUUGGAAAGUUUCGGCGGUUGGGGAUGGACUCGCGGCUUAUCAGCUUGUUGGUGGGGUAGUGGCUUACCAAGGCUUUGACGAGUAGCCGGCCUGAGAGGGUGACCGGCCACAUUGGGACUGGGAUACGGGCCAGACUCCUACGGGAGGCAGCAGUGGGGAAUAUUGCACAAUGGGCGGAGGCCUGAUGCAGCAACGCCGGGUGCGGGAGGACGGCCUUCGGGUUGGAAACCGCUUUCGCCUGUGACGAAGCGUGAGUGACGGUAAUGGGUAAAGAAGCACCGGCUAACUACGUG